GUUGAUUGUCGCAAACAAUUAGAGACGUUUAUGCGAAUUUAGUUGUUUAGUAGCUCGUUUACUUUCGUUAUCUCAGCGAUUUCUGAACAGUCGUAGUGAAUUUAAAUCUGAUUUUAAAAUUUUAUCUUAUGAAGGGUGCUUAAUUAAAAGUAAAGAAAAUUAUUUAAUGAAAGCAGGUACAGUCUAUACUAUGGGAAAGUGAAAGUUCAAGUAAGUAUUUCAGUGAUGUUUUAAAAACUUAUCAGGAUAAAAAACAUCUAAAUACAAUCAACUUUUCCUGUUUACGGAAGUUAAGAAUCAAUAUUGAAACGGUAAUCUUAUUGAGAUCUUGAUCUGAAUGAGGUAAUUAUGAACAUUCAUUAAAGCAUCAAAACGAAGAUUUUUGAAUAUAUGUUCCAAAUAAAACUGUUGGAAUACAGGGAUAAUUCAUCUGAAAGUUGACAACCUCCGUGAUUAAGUAUUUGAAUAAUAAACAGUUGAAAUAUCCAGUUGGGAAAUUGUGUUCACACCUACACCAAGACAGUAAAUAGAUAGCCUAGUUAAUAUUUUCGAUUUUUAAUAUAUUUAAUGAUUAGAACAUAUAUAUAUGUAUAUGUUUUUAAAA